rnacentral:rRNA from 1 species
CCUACGGGUGGCAGCAGUGAGGAAUAUUGGUCAUUGGGCGCGAGCCUGAACCAGCCAUGUAGCGUGAAGGAUGACUGCCCUACGGGUUGUAAACUUCUUUUAUCAAGGAAUAAAGUGAGGCACGUGUGCCUUUUUGUAUGUACUUUAUGAAUAAGGAUCGGCUAACUCCGUGCCAGCAGCCGCGGUAAUACGGAGGAUCCGAGCGUUAUCCGGAUUUAUUGGGUUUAAAGGGAGCGUAGCUGGUUUGUUAAGUCAGUUGUGAAAGUUUGCGGCUCAACCGGAAAAUUGCAAUUGAUACUGGCAGCCUUGAGUACAGUUGAGGUAGGCAGAAUUCGUGGUGUAGCGGUGAAAUGCUUAGAGAUGACGAAGAACGCCGAUUGCGAAGGCAGCCUACUAAACUGCCACUGACAUUGAUGCGCGAAAGUGUGGGUAUCAAACAGGAUUAGAUACCCGGGUAGUC